GUGAAGUACAAAUUUUGCGGUUGUGCGGUUUGCCUGAACAAUAGAGGUUGUUAUGACGACGUUAUAGAUAUAAAUAGAAAGUAAAGGUGAAAGUAAAAUAAGAAUCUAGUAUAGUUAAAAGAGAAAGUUAGUCAAUAAAGUUAUUAACGAUGUGGUUAUCUGCUAUUCUUGCACGUCUGUGUAGUGGUCCUCAUAGAAGUUUCUAGUGGUAAUAAUGAUGAAAUGAUGGAAGUAGCUCAUAAAAUGUCAGUUCAUUUCCAAAUUGGACAAC
rnacentral:lncRNA from 1 species